UAGUGAUUAACGCGAAGAACCUUACCAGCCCUUGACAUGGCAGGACGGCUUCCAGAGAUGGAUUCCUUCCCUUCGGGGACCUGCACACAGGUGCUGCAUGGCUGUCGUCAGCUCGUGUCGUGAGAUGUUGGGUUAAGUCCCGCAACGAGCGCAACCCUCGCCCUUAGUUGCCAUCAUUCAGUUGGGCACUCUAGGGGGACUGCCGGUGAUAAGCCGAGAGGAAGGUGGGGAUGACGUCAAGUCCUCAUGGCCCUUACGGGCUGGGCUACACACGUGCUACAAUGGCGGUGACAGCGGGAUGCUACUCCGCAAGGGGAAGCCAAUCCUGAAAAGCCGUCUCAGUUCGGAUCGUCCUCUGCAACUCGAGGGCGUGAAGUUGGAAUCGCUAGUAAUCGUGGAUCAGCACGCCACGGUGAAUACGUUCCCGGGCCUUGUCACACCGAAUCGAAUUC
rnacentral:rRNA from 1 species